CACGUAGGGGGCGAGCGUUGUCCGGAUUUAUUGGGCGUAAAGAGCUCGUAGGCGGUUUGGCAAGUCGGGUGUGAAAACUCGAGGCUCAACCUCGAGACGCCACCUGAUACUGCCAUGACUGGAGUCCGGUAGAGGAGUGUGGAAUUCCUGGUGUAGCGGUGAAAUGCGCAGAUAUCAGGAGGAACACCAACGGCGAAGGCAGCACUCUGGGCCGGUACUGACGCUGAGGAGCGAAAGCGUGGGGAGCAAACAGG
rnacentral:rRNA from 1 species